CAAAAGUCAGGAUCAAUUUCUACUGUGGCAUUUAGCACAGGCUUAUGGCGCUGCCAAGACGACAAAGACAUACAAACCUUAUGGUGCAGCUACGACAUCUGCUAGCAGAAGCUAACCGGGCCAUGCUAACCAGUCAAACUCUGACCCCUGGGUUCCCCCUUGUGAACGGCUCUGCCUGCAGGUCUCAUGAUUCACGCUGAAACUCUGACACUAAUGACUGCAUUACUGCGGAUGGUGUGGGUGUUUCAGAAUGGCUCCUGCUUUCAGUCGGUGUCUGAGGAUGCUGGAGACGCUGUGGGAGGGUGAAACUUUGGACUGCUUGUAAUUAUGACAAAUAAAA